AGCUUUGCGCAGUGGCGAUAUCGUAACCAAUGAGGUACAACCGAGGUGCGAUUAUUGCUAGUUGAAAACUAAUAGUUCCAAGAUGUUGCAAUACAGGUUAGGUUCGUGGAUUGAUAAUUAAGAAUAUCCUCCUAGGA